rnacentral:rRNA from 1 species
GCGAUCCCAGGUCAGGCGGGGCUACCCGCUGAGUUUAAGCAUAUCAAUAAGCGGAGGAAAAGAAACUAACGAGGAUUCCCUUAGUAGCGGCGAGCGAACCGGGAAGAGCCCAGCGUGAAAAUCGUCCGUCAUCGGCGGCCGAAUUGUAGUCUGGAGAAGCGUCCUCAGUGACGGACCGGACCCAAGUUCACUGGAAGGUGG